CGUGGCCUAGUGGUAAAGACACCAGGCUGAUAACCCCGGGGGUCGAAGGUUCGAGCCCGGUA
rnacentral:tRNA from 1 species